AAAAUAUGGUGUGGACAGCUCCUCAGUAAAUCCUUAAAACAUUCCCAAUAAUCGUACAAAGUCUCAUUCUCAUGCUGAAGAAACCUUGCUAUGUCAUUCCUCAACUU